GAUCAUGGCUCAGGACGAACGCUGGCGGCGUGCCUAAUACAUGCAAGUAGAACGCUGAAGGAAGGAGCUUGCUCUUUCCGGAUGAGUUGCGAACGGGUGAGUAACGCGUAGGUAACCUGCCUGGUAGCGGGGGAUAACUAUUGGGAAACGAUAGCUAAUAACCGCAUAACACGUAGAUAUCGCAUGAUAGCUGCUUGAAAGGUGGCAAUUGCACCACUACCAGAUGG
rnacentral:rRNA from 1 species